rnacentral:rRNA from 1 species
UAGGUGGCAAGCGUUGUCCGGAAUUACUGGGUGUAAAGGGAGCGUAGGCGGGGGUGCAAGUUGAAUGUGAAACCUACAGGCUUAACUUGUAGUUGCGUUCAAAACUGUAUCUCUUGAGUGAAGUAGAGGUAGGCGGAAUUCCUAGUGUAGCGGUGAAAUGCGUAAAUAUUAGGAGGAACACCAGUGGCGAAGGCGGCCUACUGGGCUUUAACUGACGCUGAGGCUCGAAAGCGUGGGUAGCAAA